AGCCAGGGAACAGUUGGGAUGGGUCGCGGGAGGGACUCUUCGUGGUCAGAGCCCUUUCUGUGGCGGCAGGGUCUCCGAGGUGUGACAACAGUCUAGGAACCUCGGGCUGCUUAGGCAGUGUCGGAGCACGUGGAGAGGCGGGAGCGAACCUCAAGACUGGGGUCCCUCCUCCUCGGUCAAGGAGGAAACCGGGCGGAUGGAAUGAAGCAUCCGGAAGGAUUGGAGAUCAGACCUCGGAGAGGAUCCUCCCCCUUCCUCACAUGUGGGAGGCUUGAUCUGCUCUGUUUCCCUCUCAGUGGCCCCUGAACAAGGAAAAAGCGGCAACUACAACUGGAGACGGUGUGUGUGGAAGAAGAAAAGGGAAAAGGGGAAGGGGACCAGGGACAAACAUUCAUUUGGAUAUGGAAGGAUUUGGAACCAUUGAAGAUGCCCCCCAUCCAUGGCACCGGUGCUAUGACAAGCUGGAUGAGAGACAAUGCGGAAGGAGCACCGAGCACCAUGUUGGAAGUCGGAUCUGUGUCACAAGGAAGGAAGACAAAAGGAGCGAUGAUGUCCAGCUAACAGAAGGCCGAGGAGGGGACUAUCUGAUGGGUGUUUUCGGGAAGUGAACUUUCCAAAGGAGGAAGACCUUUUAUUCCCUAGUCCUAUGGCGAAUAGGGGAAGAGGCAGAAAGACUCCAAUAGGAGGGACUUUGGUUAGUUUUCGGGAUGGAGCAUAUUUAGGGAGGAAGGCAGGGUAACUUCUUCCCUGGAGAGCUCUCGACAGAGAAAUGAUUCUCGUUUGCUCAGACGGGAUAUGUCAGUCACAGAAAGUGGAGGAGUGAGUGUCAGGAUUCAUGAAUUCAUAGAUGAGAGAGGCAAGGCAAAGGAGGAAAGUGGCAUCUUUGACAAACAUGAAGGGAAGGUCAGAAGGAAAUGGACUGGUGGAAAGAAGACUCAAAAUCACUCUUAGUUUUCAGUGAUUUCAGCCUUUUGGCAGCAGAUUUGAUAGUCUGCCUCUGUUAGGCAGACAUGGUGCCCAUGUAUACUCUAUUUCCUCUCUUUCCCUUGAUCCCAGAGACCAUGAAGAGCUGUCCUCUUUCUAGCUCUCGGUUCCAGGGGUGGGGUGGGGGCAAUAGAAAGGCAUCUGCCUCUAGAAUCUGUACCUGGGGGGAAGAGGCAGAGAAGCAAGUGGUAACUUCACAGACUGAUCUCUGAAUGGUCCUGUCAGUGGUUCUGAUGAUUGUUUUUGACAGUUAAACAAAGUGAGGAGCAAAGAUGUGAUGCUAGUGAUUAAAAUAAGGAAUGGGUCUAAACCCCUGGGGUUUGCCUGCUUGUCUACUGGUGGGAGAUGAGGACUGAUAGCUUUGCACCCCACUGUCAGGAGAGGAUGAUGUCCCAUAA